rnacentral:rRNA from 1 species
GAUGAACGCUGGCGGCGUGCUUAACACAUGCAAGUCGAACGGAAAGGCCCAAGCUUGCUUGGGUACUCGAGUGGCGAACGGGUGAGUAACACGUGGGUGAUCUGCCCUGCACUUCGGGAUAAGCCUGGGAAACUGGGUCUAAUACCGGAUAGGACGAUGGUUUGGAUGCCAUUGUGGAAAGUUUUUUCGGUGUGGGAUGAGCUCGCGGCCUAUCCGCUUGUUGGUGGGGUGAUGGCCUACCAAGGCGUCGACGGGUAGCCGGCCUGAGAGGGGGUACGGCCACAUUGGGAAGGAGAUACGGCCCAGACUCCUACGGGAGGCAGCAGUGGGGAAUAUUGGACAAUGGGCGCGAGCCUGAUGCAGCGACGCCGCGUGGGGGAUGACGGCCUUCGGGUUGUAAACUCCUUUCGCUAGGGACGAAGCGUGUUUGUGACGGUACCUGGAGAAGAAGCACCGGCUAACUACGUG